UACGUAGGGGGCAAGCGUUGUCCGGAAUUACUGGGCGUAAAGGGUGCGCAGGCGGCCGCGCGCGUGGACGGUGAAAUCUCCUGGCUUAACUUGGGAACUGCGUCGGAUACUGGUGGGCUUGAAUCCGGGAGAGGGAUGCGGAAUUCCAGGUGUAGCGGUGAAAUGCGUAGAUAUCUGGAGGAACACCGGUGGCGAAGGCGGCAUCCUGGACCGGCAUUGACGCUGAGUGAGCGAAAGCCAGGGGAGCAAACGGG
rnacentral:rRNA from 1 species